UACGUAGGGUGCAAGCGUUGUCCGGAAUUAUCGGGCGUAAAGAGCUCGUAGGCGGUCUGUUGCGUCGGCUGUGAAAACCCGAGGCUCAACCUCGGGCCUGCAGCCGAUACGGGCAGACUAGAGUUCGGCAGGGGAGACUGGAAUUCCUGGUGUAGCGGUGAAAUGCGCAGAUAUCAGGAGGAACACCGGUGGCGAAGGCGGGUCUCUGGGCCGAUACUGACGCUGAGGAGCGAAAGCGUGGGGAGCGAACAGG
rnacentral:rRNA from 1 species